UACGGGGGGGGCAAGCGUUGUUCGGAAUUACUGGGCGUAAAGGGCUUGUAGGUGGCCAACUAAGUCAGACGUGAAAUCCCUCGGCUUAACCGGGGAACUGCGUCUGAUACUGGAUGGCUGGAGUGUGGGAGAGGGAUGCGGAAUUCCAGGUGUAGCGGUGAAAUGCGUAGAUAUCUGGAGGAACACCGGUGGCGAAGGCGGCAUCCUGGACCGGCAUUGACGCUGAGGCGCGAAAGCCAGGGGAGCAAACGGG
rnacentral:rRNA from 1 species